CCUACGGGAGGCAGCAGUGAGGAAUAUUGGUCAAUGGGCGAGAGCCUGAACCAGCCAAGUCGCGUGAGGGAGUACUGCCCUAUGGGUUGUCAACCUCUUUUGUCGGGGAGCAAAAGCCGGACGUGUCCGGCUGUGAGAGUACCCGAAGAAAAAGCAUCGGCUAACUCCGUGCAAGCAGCCGCGGUAAUAAGGAGGAUGCGAGAGUUAUCCGGAUUUAUUGGGUUUAAAGGGUGCGCAGGCGGAUUUUUAAGUCAGCGGUCACAUCGUGGGGCUCAACCCCAUCCAGCCGUUGAAACUGGGGAUCUAGAGUGUGCGAGAGGGAUGCGGAAGGCGUGGUGUAGCGGUGAAAUGCAUAGAUAUCACGCAGAACCCCGAUUGCGAAGGCAGCAUACCGGUGCACAACUGACGCUCAGGCACGAAAGCGUGGGUAUCGAACAGGAUGAGAUACCCGAGUAGUC
rnacentral:rRNA from 1 species